GGUGACUCUUUGACACACUAUCAUUUUGAUCCAAUCAUGAUGAUUGAUCCACAUGAAACAACACUAGGCCAUUCAAUGUGAGACAGAUGGCAGACUCUAACUAACCAAGCCAUAACCACCUAUUUCCAACAUUCAAAAUUGAAAUAAUGACCCACCUCGAGUUGCCCAUUCCUCAUAAAUGCACUGGGAUCCAUGAAGUACUAAAUCUCUCCAAAUAAUUAAGGUGU
rnacentral:lncRNA from 1 species